GACGAACGCUGGCGGCGUGCUUAACGCAUGCAAGUCGAACGGAAAGGCCCUGCUUUUGUGGGGUGCUCGAGUGGCGAACGGGUGAGUAACACGUGAGUAACCUGCCCUUGACUUUGGGAUAACUUCAGGAAACUGGGGCUAAUACCGGAUAGGAGCUCCUGCUGCAUGGUGGGGGUUGGAAAGUUUCGGCGGUUGGGGAUGGACUCGCGGCUUAUCAGCUUGUUGGUGGGGUAGUGGCUUACCAAGGCUUUGACGGGUAGCCGGCCUGAGAGGGUGACCGGCCACAUUGGGACUGAGAUACAGCCCAGACUCCUACGGGAGGCAGCAGUGGGGAAUAUUGCACAAUGGGCGGAAGCCUGAUGCAGCAACGCCGCGUGCGGGAUGACGGCCUUCGGGUUGUAAACCGCUUUCGCCUGUGACGAAGCGUGAGUGACGGUAAUGGGUAAAGAAGCACCGGCUAACUACGUG
rnacentral:rRNA from 1 species